UGAAUUCUGAAUUGAUUGACUGCCCCAAGAUAGAGACAUUUUCCUGGCUUACCAUUUCUGGUUGUAACUGUAAUUUUGUUGCAGAAAUCCAAAAUCCCACAGAGGUUAAGUGGACAGUGGAGGAUUUUAACAAUGGUACCCGACUCCUCAAUCUGACUUGGGGUACACCACCUUAUCCAGUCUCUGUGGGACAGGUGAAUUACAACCUCUCUCUCCAUAUUUGGCCUUGCCAACUAAAGCGAAAGAACCACACCAAUAUCACUACCACUGUGUUUAGUGUUUAUGUGACUUACUCUGCUGUCAGUGGUUACAUUUUUGCCUUUAAUAAGGUGGGAAAGUCAUCGCAGACACAUAUCCUUGUCCCAGCAAAACAUCUUACAUAUGCCAGGAAGUGUAAGUAUGUGUGUUCGUUUGUGUGUGUGUGUGUGUGUGUUCGUUUGUGCUUUUGCUUCAUUUAUUUCUACACAAUGAUGUUCAUUCCUUAAAUCAACAUUUUGUUAUUUCAUUUCCAAUUAGCUUGGCCUGAUGACAAACUCAUCCCACGCAAUUAUACCCCUCGCCUUAAAAAUUCCUGUCUGGAAUGGUACAAGCUAACAGACGGAGAAACACAACCAGCCAAAGUGAAUAUAUCAAAAAUGAUGAAUGGAACAGUGGAGGAAACACUCAAAUCUAUCAGACAAAAGAUGGACGACUAUGUACGUUACUUUUACCUCGUUCACAAACAAACUGAUGGAAAGCCACAAACAACAGAAAUGCAUCUCAUGUACA